rnacentral:rRNA from 1 species
CUGGUGUUCUUGGGGGCGACGACGUACGACGUGCACCGCUCCAUCAAGAACAACGACCAGCCCCCGACCAGGGAGCAGGUGGCGGCGCUCCAGGACUUCAUCGACUCCAGAAAGCGCUAA